GAUGAACGCUGGCGGCGUGCCUAAUACAUGCAAGUCGAGCGAACAGACGAGGAGCUUGCUCCUCUGACGUUAGCGGCGGACGGGUGAGUAACACGUGGAUAACCUACCUAUAAGACUGGGAUAACUUCGGGAAACCGGAGCUAAUACCGGAUAAUAUAUUGAACCGCAUGGUUCAAUAGUGAAAGACGGUUUUGCUGCCACUUAUAGAUGGAUCCGCGCCGCAUUAGCUAGUUGGUAAGGUAACGGCUUACCAAGGCAACGAUGCGUACCCGACCUGAGAGGGUGAUCGGCCACACUGGAACUGAGACACGGUCCAGACUCCUACGGGAGGCAGCAGUAGGGAAUCUUCCGCAAUGGGCGAAAGCCUGACGGAGCAACGCCGCGUGAGUGAUGAAGGUCUUCGGAUCGUAAAACUCUGUUAUUAGGGAAGAACAAAUGUGUAAGUAACUAUGCACGUCUUGACGGUACCUAAUCAGAAAGCCACGGCUAACUACGUG
rnacentral:rRNA from 1 species